rnacentral:rRNA from 1 species
CGGCGUAAAGAGUGGUUAGAGGACCCCCAUAAUAAAGUCAAAGACCCCCCAGGCCGUCACACGCAUACGAGGGUACGAAGUUCACACACGAUAGUAGCUUUAAAUUACCCGACGCCCGAAAGCUAAGAAACUAACUGGGAUUAGAUACCCCACUAU